rnacentral:rRNA from 1 species
AACGGCGAGUGAAGCGGCAAAAGCUCAAAUUUGAAAUCUGGCCUCCUACGGGGGUCCKAGUUGUAAUUUGUAGAGGAUGCUUCGGGUGUGGCCGCCGUCUAAGUUCCUUGGAACAGGACGUCAGAGAGGGUGAGAAUCCCGUCUUGGGCGGCCGGUCCGCGCCCGUGUGAAGCUCCUUCGAAGAGUCGAGUUGUUUGGGAAUGCAGCUCUAAGCGGGUGGUAAAUUUCAUCUAAAGCUAAAUACUGGUCGGAGACCGAUAGCGCACAAGUAGAGUGAUCGAAAGGUUAAAAGCACCUUGAAAAGGGAGUUAAACAGCACGUGAAAUUGUUGAAAGGGAAGCGCUUGCGGCCAGACUCGGGGGCGGGGUUCAGCGGGUGCUCGUCGCCCGUGCACUCCCCGUCUCCCGGGCCAGCAUCAGUUUCGACGGCCGGUCAAAGGCCUCCGGAAUGUGUCGUCUCUCGGGACGUCUUAUAGCCGGGGGUGCAAUGCGGCCCGUCGGGACUGAGGAACGCGCUUCGGCUCGGAUGCUGGCGUAAUGGCCGUAAGCGGCCCGUCUUGAAACACGGACCAAGGAGUCUAACAUCCACGCGAGUGUUCGGGUGUCAAACCCGUGCGCGCAGUGAAAGCGAACGGAGGUGGGAGCCUUAGGGCGCACCAUCGACCGAUCCUGAAGUCUUCGGAUGGAUUUGAGUAGGAGCGUGGCCGUUGGGACCCGAAAGAUGGUGAACUAUGCCUGAAUAGGGUGAAGCCAGAGGAAACUCUGGUGGAGGCUCGCAGCGGUUCUGACGUGCAAAUCGAUCGUCAAAUUU